rnacentral:tRNA from 1 species
UCCCCGAUAACUCAGUUGGUAGAGUAGGCGACUGUUAAUCGCCCUGUCGCAAGUUCGAAUCUUGCUCGGGGAGCCA